GACGCUGGCGGCAUGCCUAAGACAUGCAAGUCGAACGAAGUGGUCCAAUGAAGAUUGGAGUGCUUGCACAAAAUCAGAUUUUGGGUUGCCACUUAGUGGCGAAAGGGUGAGUAACACGUAGGUUAUCUACCUUUGAGACUGGAAUAACAAUUAGAAAUGAUUGCUAAUACCGGAUGAUAUAUAGAGCGAUACGUUACUUUAUAUUAAAAGGAGCCUUUAAAGCUUCACUCAAAGAUGAGCCUGCGACGUAUUAGCUAGUUGGUGGGGUAAAGGCCUACCAAGGCGACGAUGCGUAGCCGACCUGAGAGGGUGAUCGGCCACACUGGGACUGAGACACGGCCCAGACUCCUACGGGAGGCAGCAGUGGGGGAUAUUGCACAAUGGGGGAAACCCUGAUGCAGCGACGCCGCGUGAGGGAAGACGGUCCUCUGGAUUGUAAACCUCUGUCUUCGGGGACGAAACGAGACGGUACCCGAGGAGGAAGCCACGGCUAACUACGUG
rnacentral:rRNA from 1 species